GACGAACGCUGGCGGCGUGCUUAACACAUGCAAGUCGAGCGGUAAGGCCCUUUCGGGGGUACACGAGCGGCGAACGGGUGAGUAACACGUGGGUGACCUGCCCUCAGCUCUGGGAUAAGCCUGGGAAACCGGGUCUAAUACUGGAUAUGACUCCAUGACGCAUGUUGUGGGGUGAAAGCCUUGUGCGGCUGAGGAUGGGCCCGCGGCCUAUCAGCUUGUUGGUGGGGUGAGGGCCUACCAAGGCGACGACGGGUAGCCGGCCUGAGAGGGCGACCGGCCACACUGGGACUGAGACACGGCCCAGACUCCUACGGGAGGCAGCAGUGGGGAAUCUUGGACAAUGGGCGCAAGCCUGAUCCAGCCAUGCCGCGUGAGUGACGAAGGCCUUAGGGUUGUAAAGCUC
rnacentral:rRNA from 1 species